UACGUAGGGUGCGAGCGUUGUCCGGAAUUACUGGGCGUAAAGAGCUCGUAGGUGGUUUGUCGCGUUGUCCGUGAAAACUCACAACUCAAUUGUGGGCGUGCGGGCGAUACGGGCAGACUGGAGUACUGCAGGGGAGACUGGAAUUCCUGGUGUAGCGGUGGAAUGCGCAGAUAUCAGGAGGAACACCGGUGGCGAAGGCGGGUCUCUGGGCAGUUGACUGACGCUGAGGAGCGAAAGCGUGGGGAGCGAACAGG
rnacentral:rRNA from 1 species